GACGAACGCUGGCGGCGUGCCUAAUACAUGCAAGUAGAACGCUGAAGGAGGAGCUUGCUUCUCUGGAUGAGUUGCGAACGGGUGAGUAACGCGUAGGUAACCUGCCUGGUAGCGGGGGAUAACUAUUGGAAACGAUAGCUAAUACCGCAUAAGAUUGACUAUUGCAUGAUAGUCAGUUAGAAGGUGCAAUUGCAUCACUACCAGAUGGACCUGCGUUGUAUUAGCUAGUUGGUGGGGUAACGGCUCACCAAGGCGACGAUACAUAGCCGACCUGAGAGGGGGAUCCGCCAAACCGGGACUGAGACACGGCCCAGACUCCUACGGGAGGCAGCAGGAGGGAAUCUUCGGCAAUGGACGGAAGUCUGACCGAGCAACGCCGCGUGAGGGAAGAAGGUUUUCGGAUCGUAAAGCUCUGUUGUAAGAGAAGAAAGAGUGUGAGAGUGGAAAGUUCACACUGUGACGGUAUCUUACCAGAAAGGGACGGCUAACUACGUG
rnacentral:rRNA from 1 species